UACGGAAGGCAGCAGUGGGGAAUAUUGCACAAUGGGCGCAAGCCUGAUGCAGCCAUGCCGCGUGUAUGAAGAAGGCCUUCGGGUUGUAAAGUACUUUCAGCGGGGAGGAAGGCGGUGAAGUUAAUAGCUUCACCGAUUGACGUUACCCGCAGAAGAAGCACCGGCUAACUCCGUGCCAGCAGCCGCGGUAAUACGGAGGGUGCAAGCGUUAAUCGGAAUUACUGGGCGUAAAGCGCACGCAGGCGGUCUGUCAAGUCGGAUGUGAAAUCCCCGGGCUUAACCUGGGAACUGCAUUCGAAACUGGCAGGCUAGAGUCUUGUAGAGGGGGUAGAAUUCCAGGUGUAGCGGUGAAAUGCGUAGAGAUCUGGAGGAAUACCGGUGGCGAAGGCGGCCCCUGGGACAAGACUGACGCUCAGGUGCGAAAGCGUGGGGAGCAAACAGGAUUAGAUACC
rnacentral:rRNA from 1 species